GGGCCCGCACAAGCGGUGGAGCAUGUGGUUUAAUUCGAUGAUACGCGAGGAACCUUACCAGGGCUUAAAUGUAGGUUGCAUGAUCUAGAGAUAGAUCUUUCUUCGGACUACCUACAAGGUGCUGCAUGGUUGUCGUCAGCUCGUGCCGUGAGGUGUCAGGUUAAGUCCUAUAACGAGCGCAACCCCUGUCGUUAGUUACCAGCAAUUAAAGUUGGGUACUCUAGCGAGACUGCCGGUGCAAACCGUGAGGAAGGUGGGGAUGACGUCAAAUCAUCACGGCCCUUACGUCCUGGGCUACACACGUACUACAAUGCUACGGACAAAGAGCAGCAAGUUCGCGAGAGCUAGCAAAUCCCAUAAACCGUGGCUCAGUUCAGAUCGUAGGCUGCAACUCGCCUACGUGAAGGAGGAAUCGCUAGUAAUCG
rnacentral:rRNA from 1 species